AGAACGAACGCUGGCGGCAUGCCUAAUACAUGCAAGUCGAACGAACACUUCGGUGUUAGUGGCGCACGGGUGCGUAACGCGUGGGAAUCUGCCCUUGGGUUCGGAAUAACAGUUGGAAACGACUGCUAAUACCGGAUGAUAUCGAAAGAUCAAAGAUUUAUCGCCCAGGGAUGAGCCCGCGUAGGAUUAGCUUGUUGGUGAGGUAAGAGCUCACCAAGGCGACGAUCCUUAGCUGGUCUGAGAGGAUGAUCAGCCACACUGGGACUGG
rnacentral:rRNA from 1 species